GAGACUUCGGUUGAGAGAGAGAGAGAGAGAGAGAGAGAGAGAGAGAGCGAGAGAGAGACAGAGACAGAGAGGAUGAGAACCACUGCGUGAGAUGGAUUUAAGAAAGUUAUUCGCCUGCAGCAGAGAAGCAGCAGGAAUGAGAGAUGUGUCCCCCAGUACAGUAUUAGGUCUAGUGACGCCCCUGGUGUGACGUCAUGGGUUGUGGAGCUCCUCACCUCUGAACAUUGGUUACAAUCAUGGCCACCAGCAGCGAGAGCGACUCGGACCGAGAAAGCGAGGAUUUUUCCAUUAAUUUGAGCGAGGACGAAAGAUUCGUGGAUGAGGAAUGUGAGAGUGAAGGACUGGGGGGGGGAAAAAAAGACUAUACAGCGGGAGCGAUUCAGAUGUUAUUAAACAAAUAUACUAGGAUAAUUCUGGAAAAACCCUUAUCUGCUUAUUGUGUUACUAGUGUUUUAGUGAGAUUAUAUGGUCGUACCUGUACAACCUGAAGGUCGGCCCCGUACCUUUCUUCAGCACCAGUCGACGGGUGGUGGCGAUGCCCAUCUCUGCCCUUCGAA